UUCCACUAAAACUCUGAUACUUCAGAGCAUGUGGAGGCCUGUAUCUGAAGUGGUCAGUGAUCAUGAGCAACUAAUUCACAAAAGGCCAAGAAACCCUCACUGAUACCAUCUAAAAUCUCUCUCAAUUUUCCUGUAUGUGGCUACAGAUAUAACUGGAAAUUAUAUACAAUCCACAAUCCCAUCCAUCUCAGUAUAAAAAGCCAUGAGCUCUGAAAGCUUAACAAGAAGUUCAUGUAUUUGAAGACCCAGCACAAUCUGGACUUACUACAAGAGAUGGAACUGAAAUCACUUCAGAAAAUGCUGAAUUUCCU